UAUACAUACAGCUCCAUACACAAAUCAUUUUUCUUACUUUUACACAAACCUCCUAAAUAUAGCUCAAAAACACAAACAACAACAUCAACAUCUCCCAACUACACGACAGCCCACCAUUUCAAUGGCAUAAACUCCUCUAAAAACCCAUUUUUAAGGCUGACUUUCAACUACCCCUUUUGAUCUUUUCCCUAUUUUUCGCAAAUCUUGAACUACCCUUUGGUUGCAAAUUUGGAAACCCCUAUUUGAUAAUAUUUUGGGCAUAAUUUGAAGUAUACCAUUUUUGGUUAAAGUUUGGAGAAUCCAUGGCCGGUACCACUACCGCCGGCGACACCAGCACCAGCAGUAGAAGCAACCUAGCGCCGACAAAAAGUCUGAGCAAAAAGGAAAAUCAAGGACUUUUAUUGGGUAGGUACGAAAUUGGGAAAUUACUUGGGCAUGGUACGUUUGCUAAGGUGUACCACGCUAGGAAUGUGAAGACAAAUGAGAGCGUUGCCAUAAAAGUUAUUGAUAAAGAAAAGAUCUUGAAAGUUGGUCUUAUUGAUCACAUAAAACGCGAGAUCUCAAUUUUAAGGAGAGUUAGGCACCCAAACAUAGUCCAAUUGUACGAAGUUAUGGCCACAAAGGCCAAAAUCUACUUUGUCAUGGAGUAUGUUAAAGGCGGUGAGCUUUUUAACAAAGUUGCUAAAGGCAGGCUUAAGGAGGAAGUUGCUAGAAAAUAUUUCCAGCAGUUAAUCUCUGCUGUAGCCUUUUGUCAUGCUCGUGGUGUUUACCAUAGGGACCUAAAGCCUGAAAAUAUACUGUUAGAUGAAGAUGGGAAUGUGAAAGUUUCUGACUUUGGCCUUAGUGCCAUUUCAGAGCAGAUAAAACAAGAUGGUUUGUUUCAUACUUUUUGUGGUACCCCGGCCUAUGUGGCGCCGGAGGUGUUAGCUAGAAAGGGUUAUGAUGCAGCCAAAGUUGAUAUUUGGUCAUGUGGUGUUAUUCUCUUUGUGCUAAUGGCAGGGUAUUUGCCAUUUCAUGAUCAGAAUAUUAUGGCUAUGUAUAAGAAGAUAUAUAAAGGUGAAUUUAGAUGUCCUAGAUGGUUUUCGCCUGAAUUGACUAGGUUUCUAAGACAACUUCUUGAUACUAAUCCUGAAACUAGGAUCACUAUUCAGGAGGUUAUGAACAAUAGGUGGUUUAAGAAGGGUUUUAAACAUGUCAAGUUUUAUAUUGAGGAUGACAAGUUGUGUAGUGUUAAUGAUGAUGAUUAUGAUGGCGGGGCUGAUUAUUCGUCUGAUAGAUCAGAGUCUGAAUCUGAAAUGGAGAUGAGAAGGAAGCCGGCUACUUUGCCUAGGCCAGCUAGCUUGAAUGCAUUUGAUAUCAUUUCAUUUUCCCGAGGUUUUGAUUUGUCUGGUUUGUUUGAGGAGGGAGGAGAUGGGGCAAGGUUUGUAUCCGGGGCUCCCGUGCCCAAGAUCAUAAGUAAGUUGGAGGAAAUUGCUAAAGUUGUGAGCUUUGCAGUGAGGAAGAAGGAUUGUAGAGUGAGUUUGGAGGGGUCUAAGGAGGGUGAAAAGGGACCAUUGACAAUUGCAGCUGAGAUAUUUGAGUUGACACCGUCGCUGAGAGUUGUUGAGGUGAAGAAGAAAGGAGGAGAUAGAGUGGAGUAUGAGGAGUUUUACAACAGGGAAUUGAAGCCAGGGUUACAGAAUUUAUCGCUUGAAGUUGGAGACCCUAUCCAUUCAUCUUAUUUGCCAUCAGAUACUGAAUAGAGAGAAAGAGAAGGGAAAAGGGUAAGCUCUCUUCUCUUUCGUUUUAAUAUCUUUAGGUGCAUUUGUAUAGAUAGCACUUUGUAUUUACACUUUUGCAUCUGUUAUUAGCUCACAUUCUAAGGUUGUGAUAUCUUGUAAUUUCUGUUCUUGUUGUGGAAUACUAUAUGAAGAUCUAAAAAAUGGAAUACAUCAGUGUCUCAGAAUUGGCUCAGUUCUCAAUUUCCUUUUAUUUUCUCUAACUAAUAUUAUUCUGACGCUAAAUUCAUAAUUUGGUAAACUAUUCCUAUGAGCGAAUCCAUAGCUGUACUAGUCUGUAGCUUGUGGAAGUGCUUCUUUAUACAGAUUAAGCUUCCCAAUUUCGUUGUAGCUUGUGGAAGCCAUGUGCUAUAGAUCGAGCUUCUCAAUCUUAUAAGGCCAGCUUUUCUGUACCACUUGUUGCGGAUGAUGGUAUAUGCUUGAAUGCUCUCGUUUUGUGCAACUUUCUCUAGUUAGUAUGGACAAGAAGCAGGUGUAGCUAUCAUGCAGUUGUCAAUUGUUGGAUUGAAUGAGCAAGCAUUUAUAAAUAACGAGCAAUUUUUUGUAAAAUAAUAUUUGCAAUGAGAUUUUGGUAAUAUUUAAUUAAUUACUCAAAAGUUAUUCAAUCCAUCCCCAACACAUAUGGACUUCGCAGAAUGAUGAGAAAAGAAAGAGGACGAUGGUCUAUGGAAAUUCAUAUCAAGCAAAAAAAAGGGGGGGGGGGUCUAUGGAAAUUCAUGAACAAUUCCAGAUAUAGUAUAAGGUUCAAUUGUUUAUCAACCGCUUUUUUGUUUAUUUUUGUUUAGGUUGUUGGUGUCUGCAUUGGUCUUAUAGAAAUGGGGAUCAUUCAUGGAUUGUAAUCUUUUCCUUACUAUUGCCAAGUUUCUGAUCAAGGCCAGUGGAACCUUGAUGAUUGGAAAUUGGAUUAAGGCUCUUAAAGAUUUUCUUGAGGAUGUUACCUCCUAUGCUAAACCUUACUGAAUGAUUGCUUGUCAUUAGCUUUUCACUUGAGCUUUUAGCUUCCCUGCUAGUUUUCUUGGUCAAUCUGGAGUUUCCCUUUCAGUUGAUUAUACUUGAAUAUCAGUAGAUCUUCUCCAGGGAAAAAGAAAAAGAAGAACCUAGUUUGAAGAGCUACAAACUAGCCACGCAAUGCCCGUUUAACCUUUGAUAGGUGUAGGUGCCACAAGUCUGAGUGCAGGCAACAACUAAGGCAAUGACAUUUGAGUGAGGUAAGUGUGGACUUCUAACAACUGGUGAAGGCUACUUCCACUAGAAGGGAGAACUCAUGAAUUCCAAAAAGCAGAGCCAAAUGCCAAGCUGGAUGGAUCAAGCGCUAACCCUCGGCAACUAGACCUUUGCGUUGCACUUCGUCACAAGUUGAUGUUCAAGAUCAAGAUUUAACCAUUUCAACUCAGACCAGUGCAUAACAUGGUUCGUAGUCUAGUUGUAUAUUAGUAGUCUAUCUAAUAUCUAUGGAACUGGUAGUUGCAGCCAAAAAAAAAAUGUCUUCUGAUUUGCACUUCAUGCCAAGUUAGUGGAUGCAACUCUUAUGCAGAGAAACAAAUAAAUAAAUACAUUGAAAAUGGCAUAAGGAAUAGUCAAAGUAGGUUUUUAAAUUAAAUAACUUUGUAAUAAUGGUUCUGGACCAUACUAAAAACGAAUAUUUCUGGACCACUGUGUAGUGAAUGAAUGAAAGCUUUGUUUAGUGUCGUGAGACGGCAGUUUCAGGACUAGUGCAAGCUGUUGCUAUCAAA